AGCGAACGUUAGCGGCGGGCCUAACACAUGCAAGUCGAACGCGAAAGGUCUUCGGACUGAGUAGAGUGGCGCACGGGUGAGUAACACGUAGGUAAUCUACCCUUUGGCGGGGGAUAACGUUCCGAAAGGAGCGCUAAUACCGCAUAAGACCACGGAGUCUCCGGACGCUGUGGGAAAAGGUGGCCUCUUCUUGAAAGCUACCACCGAAGGAUGAGCCUGCGUCCCAUCAGCUAGUUGGUAAGGUAAUGGCUUACCAAGGCGAAGACGGGUAGCUGGUUUGAGAGAAUGAUCAGCCACACUGGCACUGGAACACGGGCCAGACUCCUACGGGAGGCAGCAGUGGGGAAUCUUGCGCAAUGGGCGAAAGCCUGACGCAGCAACGCCGCGUGGGGGAUGAAGGCUUUCGGGUUGUAAACCCCUUUCAGCAGGGACGAAUCAAGACGGUACCUGCAGAAGAAGCCCGGCUAACUACGUG
rnacentral:rRNA from 1 species